GACGAACGCUGGCGGCGUGCUUAACACAUGCAAGUCGAACGGAAAGGCCCUGCUUUUGUGGGGUGCUCGAGUGGCGAACGGGUGAGUAACACGUGAGUAACCUGCCCUUGACUUUGGGAUAACUUCAGGAAACUGGGGCUAAUACCGGAUAGGAGCUCCUGCUGCAUGGUGGGGGUUGGAAAGUUUCGGCGGUUGGGGAUGGACUCGCGGCUUAUCAGCUUGUUGGUGGGGUAGUGGCUUACCAAGGCUUUGACGGGUAGCCGGCCUGGGAGGGUGACCGGCGACAAGGGGACUGAGAGACGGACCAGACUCCUACGGGAGGCAGCAGUGGGGAAUAUUGCACAAUGGGCGGAAGCCUGAUGCAGCAACGCCGCGGGCGGGAUGACGGCCUUCGGGUUGUAAACCGCUUUCGCCUGUGACGAAGCGGGAGUGACGGUAAUGGGUAAAGAAGCACCGGCUAACUACGUG
rnacentral:rRNA from 1 species